UACAGAGGGGGCAAGCGUUGUCCGGAUUGACUGGGCGUAAAGCGCACGUAGGUGGUUGGUUACGUGGUGUGUGAAAGCUCAGGCUUAACCCUGAUAGGCCAUGCCAAACGAACCGACUCGAGGCUGAGCAGAGGCGGGUGGAAGUUGCCGGUGUAGUGGUGAAAUGCGUAGAGAUCGGCAGGAACACCAAGGGGGAACCCAGCCCGCUGGGCCAGUCCUGACACUGAGGUGCGACAGCGUGGGGAGCGAACAGG
rnacentral:rRNA from 1 species